UCGACGGACUUCGGCAAAGGUAUUCAGUAGGGUUUCAAAUAAUCCAAAAUCCUGCCACAAAUCCAAUUGGCAUUCUUCCCAAGAAAUAAUCCCCUUAACCGACCAAUGUAAUAUAAGAAAACUGUAGAUACAAUCACAUCGUAUUUAAGUAUAAAUUAAACUAAUGGUCUCUUUGGUUGAGAUUUUGGUAGAUUUUCAUCAUUCAAGUGUAAGCAAGUGAGAAUUUCUAAAAGAGAAAUUUGUGUGCAUGCAAAAUUAAAAUUUUCCAAUGGGCUACCAUAAAUGAAAGGACAUCAUCAAUUGAUGACAUUUAGUUUGAGGUGCAACUAUGGUGGUUGGCUGGGGGAAUUAGAUUUUUAUUCAUUUGCAGUGGGCAAUGGCCAUGGAUAAAAGAGCUGACCCGGGCACGCUCCGCUGCGCCUUCUUUUACUUUAU
rnacentral:sRNA from 1 species